UGAUCAAUGAUGAUUCCCAGUCAAACAUUCCUUGGAAAAGCUGAACAAAAUGAGUGAAAACUCAGUACUGCAAAAAAAAAAAAAAGGGGGGGG